UAAGGGUUGGACAGAUGCUAAAUGUGC
rnacentral:piRNA from 1 species